UCGACGGCAGCACGGGAGCAAUCCUGGUGGCGAGUGGCGAACGGGUGAGUAAUAUAUCGGAACGUGCCCAGUCGUGGGGGAUAACGCAGCGAAAGCUGUGCUAAUACCGCAUACGAUCUACGGAUGAAAGCGGGGGAUCGCAAGACCUCGCGCGAUUGGAGCGGCCGAUAUCAGAUUAGCUAGUUGGUGGGGUAAAGGCCCACCAAGGCGACGAUCUGUAGCUGGUCUGAGAGGACGACCAGCCACACUGGAACUGAGACACGGUCCAGACUCCUACGGGAGGCAGCAGUGGGGAAUUUUGGACAAUGGGCGCAAGCCUGAUCCAGCAAUGCCGCGUGCAGGAUGAAGGCCUUCGGGUUGUAAACUGCUUUUGUACGGAACGAAACGGUCUCUUCUAAUAAAGGAGGCUAAUGACGGUACCGUAAGAAUAAGCACCGGCUAACUACGUGCCAGCAGCCGCGGUAAUACGUAGGGUGCGAGCGUUAAUCGGAAUUACUGGGCGUAAAGCGUGCGCAGGCGGUUAUAUAAGACAGAUGUGAAAUCCCCGGGCUCAACCUGGGACCUGCAUUUGUGACUGUAUAGCUAGAGUACGGUAGAGGGGGAUGGAAUUCCGCGUGUAGCAGUGAAAUGCGUAGAUAUGCGGAGGAACACCGAUGGCGAAGGCAAUCCCCUGGACCUGUACUGACGCUCAUGCACGAAAGCGUGGGGAGCAAACAGGAUUAGAUACCCUGGUAGUCCACGCCCUAAACGAUGUCACUGGUUGUNGGGUCUUCNCUGACUCAGUAACGAGCUACGCGUGAAUUGACCGCCUGGGAAUACGNCCCAAGUUGAACUCAAGNAUUGACGGGACCNCNAACCGNNGAUGAUUGGUUAU
rnacentral:rRNA from 1 species